UCCCAUGGUGAGAGCAGGUUGUUGCAUGCCAGCCGGGGGACAGACUAGAAACGACCCCUUCAAGGUCCUUCCCUGGACGUCAAACAGUCAAAAUUCGUACGGACAAUGGAAAUCUGACUGUUUAAUUAAAAUAACGUAUUUUGAUGGUCCCAGCAGAUGUUAACACAAUGAGAUUUCUGCCCAGUGCUCUGAAUCUCAAGGUACAGAAAUUCAACCAAGCGUGGGUAAACGGCAGGAGUAGCUAUGACUCUCUUAAGGUAGCUAAAUGCCUCGCUAUCUAAUUAAUGACGCACAUGAAUGAAUUAAUGAGAUUCCCACUAUCCCUAUCCACUAUCCAGCGAAACCACAACCAAGAAACGGGCUUGGCAGAAUCAACGGGGAAAGAAGCCCUGUUGAGCUUGACCCUAGUCUGACUUUCUGAAAUGACUUGAGAGGUGUAGCAUAAGUGGGAGCUUCGGUGUAAGUGAAAUACCUAAGGCUUGCUUUGCAGGUCAAUCCGGGGGGAGGACAUUGUCAGGUAGGGAGAUUGGCUGGGGUUGCAUAUCUAUUAAAAGAUAACAUAAGUGUCUCAGAUGAGCUUAAUGAGAAUAGAAAUCUCGUGUGAAAUAGAAGGGUAAAAGCUUAUUUGAUUCUGAUUUUCAGUGUGAAUAUGAACUAUAAAAAUGUGGCCUAACGAUCCUUUAGACCUUCAGAAUUUAAAGGUAGAAGUGUCAGAAAAGUUACCACAGGGAUAACUGGAUUGUGGCAGCUAAGCAUUCAUAGCAACGUUGCUUUUAAUCCUUCGAUGUCGGCUCUUCCUAUCAUUACGAAGACAAUUCACCAAGUGCUAGAUUGUUCACCCACCAAUAAGGAACGUGAGCUGACUUUAGACUGUUAUGAGACAGGUUAGUUUUACCCUACUGAUGACAGUGUCGCCAUCGUAAUUCAACCUACUAUGAGAGGAACCAUUGAUUUAUAUAAUUAGUCAUCACGCUUGGUUGAAAAGCCAGUGGCAUGAAGCUAUCCUGCGUUGGAUUAUAAUUGAAUGCCUCUAAGUCAGAAUUCGGGGGCCAAGAGCGACGCAUGCACCUGCCGCCCGAUUGCCAACCUACAGUAGGGGUCUCGGCCUCCAAGGGCAUGCGUCGUAGGCUAAGCCAGUGCAGUGGAUGCGCCUUGAUGGCCACCUUGAAGUACAAUUCCAACUGAGCGGUGGGUUGAAUCCUUCGCAGAUAACUCAAAUACGGGACAGGAUAUGGCAAGUGGCAGAGUGGCCUUGCUGAUGCAUUCCACUUAGAUUU
rnacentral:rRNA from 1 species